AUGGAGCCGCCGGCGCCGCCGCCCCUACCGCCGCCGCAGCUGCACCUGCGGGUCCUGGACAGCGUCAGGCUCUUCCCGGCGCCGCAGCCUCCGGCGUCGUCGCUGCCGCUCUCCGGCCUCGACGCCGACCGCAACGCGCUCGACGUCUCCUUCCGCACCGUCCGCUUCUUCCCCGCCCACCCGGUCUCCCUCGACCCGCUCGACGUCCUCCAGGCCGCCUUCGCCGACGCGCUCGGCCUCUUCCCGCAGCUCGCCGGCUCCCUCCUCCGCGACGACGGCCGCGUCGUGCUCACCGGGGCCGGCGAGGUCGACGCUGUGACCCUCGUCCUCGCGGCGACGGACCUGUCGGUGGCCGACGUCGACGCGGACAGGCCGGACUCGCCGCUGCUCGACCGCCUCGCGCCGGGCGACGGCGACGGCGGGCCGGCAGCGCUUGCGCUCCAGGUCACGCGGUUCACGUGCGGCGGCGUCGCGCUGGGGAUGCGGGUGGCGCACGCGCUCUGCGACGGCGCGGGGUCCACCAAGUUCCUCGUCGCCGCCGCGCGGUUCGCGCGGGGGCUGGAGCCGGAGGCCGCGGCGGCGCCGGUGUGGAACCGCCGGGAGCUUCUGGGCCCCAGGGACCCGCCGCGGGUGGUGACGCCGUUCGACGCCGUCCUCUCGACCGACGACGACGCCGCGCGGCUCGGCCCGUACGGCGCGGCGAGCGACGGACAGGGACACGAGCGGCUCGCGAGGGAGUGCUUCCACGUCAGCGACGCGCGCGUGGAGGCGCUCAGGGCGCGGCUCGCCGCGGACGCCGGCGUCAAGUUCACGACCUUCGAGGUUCUCGCCGCCUUCAUCUGGCGCGCCAAGGUGAAGGCCAACCAAACCGCCCCCGACGAGACCGUGAAGAUGGUGUACUCCAUGAACAUCAGCGCGCUCCUCGACCCGCCGCUGCCAGAGGGGUACUGGGGCAACGUGUGCGUGCCGGUGUACGUGGCGCUCGCGGCCGGCGACCUCGUCGGGCGGCCGCUGGCGGAGACGGCAUCCCUGGUCAGGAAGAGCAAGCGGGGGGUGGACGAGGAGUACGUGCGGUCCUACGUCGACCUCCAGGAGCUGCGGCGCGGGGAGGGCGGCGUCACGGCGGGGCGGCGCGGCGUGAGCGCGUUCACGGACUGGCGGCGGCUGGGGCACUCGGAGGUGGACUUCGGGUGGGGCGGGCCCGACGCCGUGCUGCCGCUCUCGUGGCGGCUGCUCGGGAGCACGCAGCCGUGCUUCCUGCUGCCCUACGGCGCCGGGGACAAGAGGCGGCGGCGAGGGUUCAAGGUGUUCGUCGCGGUGCCGGAGGAGGCGGUGCCCCGGUUCAGAGAGGAGAUGGAGGAGAUACUGUGGCAGCAUGAGGACAGUGACUGCACUUCAGUGGGGAAACUGUAA
rnacentral:rRNA from 1 species